UACGAAGGGGGCUAGCGUUGCUCGGAAUGACUGGGCGUAAAGGGCGCGUAGGCGGUUCAUACAGUCAGAUGUGAAAUUCCCGGGCUUAACCUGGGGGCUGCAUUUGAUACGUGUGGGCUUGAGUGAGGAAGAGGGUUGUGGAAUUCCCAGUGUAGAGGUGAAAUUCGUAGAUAUUGGGAAGAACACCGGUGGCGAAGGCGGCUCACUGGCUCGUAUCUGACGCUCAGGCGCGAUAGCGUGGGGAUCAAACAGG
rnacentral:rRNA from 1 species